UAGUGGCGGACGGGUGAGUAACGCGUGAGAAUCUAGCUCUAGGUCGGGGACAACCACUGGAAACGGUGGCUAAUACCGGAUAAGCCGUGAGGUAAAAGAUUUAUUGCCUAGAGAUGAGCUCGCGUCUGAUUAGCUAGUUGGUGUGGUAAGAGCGCACCAAGGCGACGAUCAGUAGCUGGUCUGAGAGGAUGAUCAGCCACACUGGGACUGAGACACGGCCCAGACUCCUACGGGAGGCAGCAGUGGGGAAUUUUCCGCAAUGGGCGAAAGCCUGACGGAGCAAUACCGCGUGAGGGAGGAAGGCUCUUGGGUUGUAAACCUCUUUUCUCAAGGAAUAAUUCAAUGAAGGUACUUGAGGAAUAAGCAUCGGCUAACUCCGUGCCAGCAGCCGCGGUAAUACGGAGGAUGCAAGCGUUAUCCGGAAUGAUUGGGCGUAAAGGGUCCGCAGGUGGCAUUGAAAGUCUGCUGUUAAAGAGUGAGGCUUAACCUCAUAAAAGCAGUGGAAACUACAAAGCUAGAGUGCGUUCGGGGUAGCAGGAAUUCCUGGUGUAGCGGUGAAAUGCGUAGAGAUCAGGAAGAACACCGGUGGCGAAAGCGUGCUACUAGGCCGUAACUGACACUGAGGGACGAAAGCUAGGGGAGCGAAUGGGAUUAGAUACCCCAGUAGUCCUAGCCGUAAACGAUGGAUACUAGGCGUGGCUUGUAUCGACCCGAGCCGUGCCGGAGCUAACGCGUUAAGUAUCCCGCCUGGGGAGUACGCACGCAAGUGUGAAACUCAAA
rnacentral:rRNA from 1 species